AAGAGCCGUAUAAAUCGAGAGGUUUACCUACGGAUCUGUGGGAGCCGGGAGGUGAGAUCCCUCCCGGCUACCCGAC
rnacentral:ncRNA from 1 species